ACCUUGGCUAUCUUAUCUUACCUCCUAAUAAAUGAACCUCUAAUCUUAUCUUUCUGGGAAUCAGAACUCUAUGCAGUGGAGGGGAGAGAUUGUAAUUGGUCAACAGGUCAGUUGGUCAGUCAGCCAAUCAGCACUUAUUAAGCACCUGCCAUGUGUCAGGCACUGUGUUCAGCACUGGGCAUACAAAAAGAGGUAAAAGAUAGUCCCUACCUCUAAGGGGCUUACAAUCUAAUCACAGGGAACAGACAGGACAGCCUGAGGGAAAUACAGUAUGAUCUAGUUGGAAUUUAAUACCUAAAGUAACAACAACAAAAACAGUUGCUAUUUAAAAAGGAGCCCUGAGGGUUGUGGAAAGAGAUUUGACCAAGUCAGCAAUCCUAGUCCUGACUCUGUUAGGAAUUAGUUUUGUGACCUUGGUAAAUCACAAUUUCUUGAGGCCUCAGUUUCCCCAUCUGUCAAAUAAGGUCGGAUGAUUUAAUAAUAAUUGACAUUUGAAGAGUAUUUUACAUGCCUUAUCUCACCUGAUCUUCAUCACCAUCCCAUGAGUAUACCAAUAGAUACUUCAGUGAGACAAGAACUUCCUGAUGGACCAUAAAAACUGGAUCUUGUAGCAACUGGGGUCUUUCUAUCCCAAGCAAAUAUCCAAGCCAGUUUCUAGAUGCACUGCAGAGUGGGUCACAGGAGAAAGCACAAGGAUUUAUCUAUCAGAUCUGUGCGAGACUUGUUUUUCUUCAUAUACUUAGAUCAAAGUAACCUAACACAACAAACUGAAUGUAGAAGUACAUAGGAGAAUCAAUCCCUUAUCUUUUAUUGUCAGACAUUAAAGAGAAUGCCAACCCCUUGAGGGCAAAAAUUGACUUCAUUUCUGACUUUAUCCUUAGCAUCUAGUUCUGUGGCUGCACC
rnacentral:lncRNA from 1 species